rnacentral:rRNA from 1 species
GUAGAAUUUUUGAAUUUAACGGAUUUGGCGGCAAGAUAGCCCAUUUAGAGGAACCUGCCCUAUAAACGAUGAUCCACGAGUUACUUCACUUUCUUUAGUAAACAGUUUGUAUACCGCUGUUGUCAGUUAGUUUUUAGAGGAAACUUUCUACAAUGAUAAAAUCAUUGACUUCAAGUAAAGGUGCAGCUUAUAAGAAAGCUAGAGGUGGGUUACAAUUUUAAGAAAAAUACGAAUCACAAAAAUGAAAAAUUGUGUGAAGGUGGAUUUAAUUGUAAAGUUAAAUUUAACUUGAUAAGAGCACUAACUUGUG